rnacentral:lncRNA from 12 species
AGUUGUCCACUCUGCUUAUGGGUAAGUUGAAGUCUGGAGGAAAUAUUAUUAGAUAGUUCACCAUGACUAUCCAUCUCAUUCACCUCCUCCUAUCUAGUUAUAUUAAAUAACACAUCCGAUUUGGGUCUUCAUCUCUCUGACAGCCGUGUCUGACUCUCAACUAGUCCCAAAACUGAAAUUGAGGAGUGAGGUGUACUUAUCAGAAGUUAAAACUCCAAAUAUAAACUCAUUGGGCAGGAAUAACAGAGCCCUAGUUAGGGGGACUGGCAUUUAGAAUGCAAAAUAACACAAGGAGAAUGAGAUUUCGCAUCCUGGUAGACUUGAUGUAAGGCAGGUCAGCUUCGUUUGCAUAGGUCUUGCAGCUUGUGGCCUCUUAAGCUGGCAGUUGGCAGGAUGCAUAUUGUAUAGCUGGGAUUAUUCAUUGUGAUGGGCCAGGCAAGCUCUGGUGAACAUGAAUUGUGUGGUGUCCUCUGUUGUGUCACCUAGGUGUGAUCUUACAAAGGUCUGGUUUAGGUGAGUUGGGAAUUCAGUUGCUAGGAGAAAAGGUCUCUUAGUUCUUGUUAAAAAUAAUUUUAGAGCCAAUAUAUAGGCUUUUAAACUAUUUUUGAGUGAAAGCAUUUUUUUUUUCUAUCUUUACAUUGGAAAGGCCUGGCCUGAACACUUCAAAGGUUUCCUAAAUGCUGGUCACAAAAAAAGACUGAUACCCAAGACAUACUUGAUGGAAGUAGAUUUUGAAGGCUAUGAUUUGACCACUUGCAUGAAUAUCUACAUGACAAUGCAUUAUAUGAUGGGUGCUACCCAAAGAAUUUACUGUGUGCUGAGUCAGUAUCCUGAGUACAAAGUUUGCUGGGUGUAGACCUGACUAAAGGAAAUGCCUAAGACUUAAUUGGAUGGAAGAGUCACGACUGGAAUCUAAUCAUCUCCUUGCACAAGUGCUCCUCUCUCCCCAACCAUCAUCCAUGGGAGGUCAAGUUCACUUUCCUGGGCAGACUUGAGAGAAGUGGAGCCUUUCCUUUUUGCAGAUAUCUGAGCCAGGGUCACCACCAUAGGCUAGGCCACCAAUUGGCAUACCAUGUGCCUAAAGGUAAAUAUAGGUGAUUGUGUGUCCUGAGAUAGAUUAACCCAUAACCCAGAGUGAGCAAACAGUAGUACUACUAAAGUUCCUUGUCAUCUUUAGAUCAGUUAAAAUAAAAACACUAAAAAAUAAAUAGAGUGAUGACCU